UACGUAGGGUGCAAGCGUUAAUCGGAAUUACUGGGCGUAAAGCGUGCGCAGGCGGCUAUGCAAGACAGAUGUGAAAUCCCCGGGCUCAACCUGGGAACUGCAUUUGUGACUGCAUAGCUAGAGUACGGUAGAGGGGGGAUGGAAUUCCGCGUGUAGCAGUGAAAUGCGUAGAUAUGCGGAGGAACACCGAUGGCGAAGGCAAUCCCCCUGGACCUGUACUGAC
rnacentral:rRNA from 1 species